UACGAACCGUGCGAACGUUGUUCGGAAUCACUGGGCUUAAAGGGCGCGUAGGCGGGCUUGCAAGUCUGUGGUGAAAUCCUCCAGCCCAACUGGAGAACUGCCGUGGAUACUGCGAGUCUCGAGGGAGGUAGGGGCGUGCGGAACAGAUGGUGGAGCGGUGAAAUGCGUUGAUAUCAUCUGGAACUCCGGUGGCGAAGGCGGCACGCUGGACCUCAUCUGACGCUGAGGCGCGAAAGCUAGGGGAGCAAACGGG
rnacentral:rRNA from 1 species